GGAAGCGCGUCGCUGUCUCCUGCUGCGCCCAGGCCGGCGGGCCCAGCAGCUGCGAACCGCCGGCGCACCACCUGUUUCCGCGCCCGGGGACUUCCCCGGAGGGUCUCAGAAGUGUGGGGUCGGUCGCUUGGCUUCCCCUGGCGUCAGCGACCCAGGGUAACCUCCUCCACUGCUGCCUGCCGUGCAGGCCUGCCUGUGGGAGAGCCACGUGUGCCGCGCUCUGGGCACAGCCUUGGAAAGUCAAGACCGCGACGGCAGCAGAGCAGAAUGAAUUGCUCAGAAAGAAUUGGCCAAUGUCAACCACAUAUCUGUUUCCAUGGAAACUGCAGCAAUAUUACUUUGAAUAGUUUCAUUUGUGAAUGUGAUGAACAAUUUUCAGUGCCUGGUGGUUCCCCCAGAUCUGCAGGCAGGCCCUGAAGUUUCUGCUGCAGAUCCGGGCCCAGCCCCUCAUCAACCUGCAGAUGGCGAACGCGUCUCUGUACGAGCAUGUGGAGCAGAUGCACCUCAUCGGAGGGGCCAGGAGCAGCUAAAGCUCCUGGGGGAUUACCUGGGCCUGUGCUGGAGCGGCGCCCUGAAGGAGCUCAGCAAGAGGCUCAACCACAGGAAUUAUCUCUUGGAGUCUCCGCAUAGGUUCAGUGUUGCUGACCUCCAGCAGAUCACAGAUGGGGUGUCUGAAGGAUUCCUCAAGGCCCUGAUCGAAUUUGCCUCCCAGCACAUCUACCACUGCGACCUGUGCACCCAGCGCAGCUUCAUCUGCCAGAUCUGCCAGCACCAUGACAUCAUCUUCCCCUUUGAGUUUGACACCACAGUCAGUUAUUGCUCAUUAUCAGCAACCUCUCAAUGGAAAAAUUCAUCCAGACCUUCCUGCAACCCAUGUGGGCGUGGAAAACUGAACUGGGAACAUUAGUUCUUUUUCUGUCAGUGUCCACUGGCCGGGAUUCAGCCCUGAAUGGGCCUGGGGGUGUGCCGAGUACAAGGCCGUCUUCCACCAGAGCUGCCAGGCUGUGGUGAAGAAGGGCUGCCCCCACUGUGCUCGCUGACGCAAGUACCAGGAACAGAACGUUUUCGCCUGGUGCCCCUCUGCUGACCCUGCUCUGAAGGCCGGGGGUGAGUGUGGCUCAGCCAUCCCAGCUGGGUUUGCUAUCAGCCCAGGAUACUCACCGUGUCACAGCUGUGUCCCUUUGUCAGGAAGACCCUCAGAUGUGACCAGAGCACUGGCCUCCCAGAGAAAGCCCAGGAAGUCCCCGUGAUGUCCCCUGGCCCUCCCCCAACCCUCUGCUGCAGGAGGCGUGGCCACCACCAGAUGCUCCCUGUCUCGGGGCAGACAGGGCCUUUACUCACCAGGCCCUGGCUCACCAGCGUCCCGGCGCCUCCGUGAGGGCUGCCCAAACACUGUGGAAAGGGGACUUGGGGAGCAUUUUCAAUUCCACAUUCCUGAUUAAAAGGUCUAGUUUUUUAA